rnacentral:lncRNA from 7 species
GUACCCAUCAUGCCCAUUCCUAAACCAUGGAGCAGCACCUAUGGCCUCUGAAGCAGCAGGAUGCUGUGGCAUUCAUAGCCUCUCCCCCGUACUCCACUUGAAAGGGAUUUUAGAUGGAAAAGAAGAGGAAAAGAAGAUGGUUCCCCUGGGAUGCUCUUGAAGAGUUCUUCUCUGACAUUCUGCUGUCAUUAAGACAUCCUAAUUCCGGGUGGAUUCUCAGAGUUCUCAUCAGGCUCAGCAGGAGAAAACCAUUUAACUUUGGUCUUGGCCUCAUCCAUGAUCUGGGUUGGAAAUCUGAACGGGAUCCAGUGUUAUCACAGUGUUGCCUUUGGCAGUCCGGUAUUCCCUAUAAGGAUUGAUGGCUCUCCCUGCUGAUUUGGCACCAGAUCCUUCCUCUCAAGUGUCGUCAUAUUCGUCCUCUUGGGGUAAAUGGGCUCAAAUCCAGCAGUAAAUAUAUAAAGAGAAACAUGAGUUUUCCAGCUGAGUAGACAGAGGAACAAACCUAGACCAAACGAUUUGCCAAAGGUCACACAGAGAAUCAGAGGAUUUAUAGGGGAAUCUGCCCUGGCUUCAGUCAGCAAUUCAUGUUGUCUCUGUUUGGGUUUGUUCUGACACUAGGGGUUCCUGAUUCAGUCUUGCCAGUUCAUAAGCCUUUCUCAUGAGUCUAUUAAUAUUUGCUGCCUCUCAGAAAGCCAGCUAAUGGUUUAAGAAUUUCAGACUUGUAUGAAUUAAGCUUCUAGCUGUGGUGACAGCAGAACAAAAAUAACUUAGAGCAAAAGAAGAUUGGUGUAUCUUCUCAAGGCUUAGAAAUCAGAGUAAAGUUGCCAUUCUUU